GGAAUAGCCUCUGGAAACGGAGAGUAAACCGGAUGAGCCCUUCGGGGGAAAGAUUUAUCGGGAAAGGAUUACCCCGCGUUAAAUUAGGUAGUUGGGGGGGUAAUGGCCUACCAAGCCUACGAUCUAUAGCUGGUUUUAGAGGAUGAUCAGCAACACUGGGACUGAGACACGGCCCACACUCCUACGGGAGGCAGCAGUGGGGAAUCUUGGACAAUGGGGGCAACCCUGAUCCAGCCAUGCCGCGUGAGUGAUGAAGGCCUUAGGGUCGUAAAGCUCUUUCGCCUGUGAAGAUAAUGACGGUAGCAGGUAAAGAAACCCCGGCUAACUCCGUGCCAGCAGCCGCGGUAAUACGGAGGGGGUUAGCGUUGUUCGGAAUUACUGGGCGUAAAGCGCACGUAGGCGGACUGGAAAGUUGGGGGUGAAAUCCCAGGGCUCAACCCUGGAACUGCCUCCAAAACUAUCAGUCUAGAGUUCGAGAGAGGUGAGUGGAAUUCCGAGUGUAGAGGUGAAAUUCGUAUAUAUUCGGAGGAACACCAGUGGCGAAGGCGGCUCACUGGCUCGAUACUGACGCUGAGGUGCGAAAGUGUGGGGAGCAAACAGGAUUAUAUACCCUGGUAGUCCACACCGUACACGAUGAAUGCCACUCGUCGGGUAGCAUGCUAUUCGGUGACACACCUAACGGUAUUAAGCAUUCCGCCUGGGGAGUACGGUCGCAAGAUUAAAACUCAA
rnacentral:rRNA from 1 species